rnacentral:lncRNA from 1 species
UGUAUUCUAAUUGUAUUAUAUAAUUGUAAUUAAAUAGAUGUCAAGAAAAUUGAUAAUCGCUUCGCAAGCGAUUCAGCGUCAAACUCAAGAAACGAAUGGAUCUUCUGGAACUAGAAGUUGUGAUUCUCAAGCUGGGCGCUUAGGUAUUAUUUUCAAAAAUAUAUUUUUCAUUUUUCAAAUUCAACUAAUAAUAUUAAAUCGUAGGAGGACGGGGGGAAACUAGAUCUCUUCCACAACCUGACGUGCCUGUUCCCACUUUCCUCAAUGCAGAUACCUAAGAACUUAUCUUCUUCUUUUUUUAUAAUUUUUUUUAACUAUUAUAACUUUAUGUAGGUCGUUCCAACAAACAGUAAAAAAUCAAAUUAUGUGUUUGGUUAAAGGAAAAAUCAAUGGUGCGUGGACUACAUGGGCGAUGUUCCCAAAAGAUGUAAAAGAUGAUAUAUGGAAUAAAUUAUUGGUACAUAUUAAUAUUAAUAUUUAUUUUUAUUUUUAAUGAUUUUUUUAUAUAUUAUAAAAAUGAUAUUGUUAAUGUCUAUUAUAUGUUUGUAAUUUACAGAAAUUUUUCAGUUUUCACGAUAAUGAUGUCGCUAGAUUCCAAUUCGAGAAAUACG